CCGCGUAUAUACAAGCGCCACCACGCUGCCUCCAUCCCUAGCCCUUCCGCCCGCUCGCCCGCCCGCGCCGCCGCCGCCGCCUCCUUCCGCAGGAGCUCCCUCCCCGCAGGCGCGAUGGUGUACAUCAAGAACCAGAAGACAAGGGCGUACUCCAAGCGUUUCCAAGUCAAGUUCAAGAGAAGGCGCCAGGGGAAGACCGACUACAGGGCCAGGCUGAGGCUCACAAACCAGGACAAGAACAAAUACAAUACCCCCAAGUACCGUUUUGUUGUGCGAUUUACCAACAAGGAUGUCACUGCACAAAUUGUGUAUGCUACCAUUGCUGGUGAUAUCGUGAUGGCCGCUGCCUACUCCCAUGAGUUGCCUCGCUAUGGUCUUGAAGUUGGCCUGACCAACUAUGCUGCAGCCUACUGCACUGGUCUCCUUUUGGCUCGUCGUGUGCUCAAGAACCGUGAUCUCGAUGAGGAGUAUGAAGGCAAUGUUGAGGCCACGGGUGAGGACUUCUCUGUUGAGCCUUCUGAUGAGAGGAGGCCUUUCCGUGCGCUCUUGGAUGUUGGUCUUAUUAGGACCACCACUGGAAACCGUGUGUUUGGUGCCCUUAAGGGAGCUUUGGAUGGCGGCCUUGACAUUCCACACAGUGACAAGAGAUUUGCUGGUUUCAAGAAGGAUGAAAAGUCGCUGGAUGCUGAGAUUCACCGCAAGUACAUCUUUGGAGGGCAUGUCGCUGACUACAUGAGGUCACUAGCAGAUGAGGAACCAGAGAAGUUCCAAACUCACUUCAGUGAGUACAUCAAGAGGGGAAUCUCAGCUGAUGACAUGGAAGCAGUUUACAAGAAGGUUCAUGCUGCCAUCCGUGCUGAUCCCACCAUGGCCAAAUCAACCAAGGCGCCUCCCAAGACUCACAAGAGGUACAACCCCAAGAAGCUGACCUAUGAGCAGAGGAAGGCCAGCCUCGUCGAAAGGCUCAACGCCCUCAACAACUCUGCCGGUGCCGCCGAUGACGACGAGGACGACGACGAGUGA
rnacentral:rRNA from 1 species